rnacentral:misc_RNA from 1 species
AACGCACAUUGCGCCCUUUGGCAUUCCGAAGGGCAUGCCCGUUCGAGCGUCAUUACACCAAUCAAGCCUGGCUUGGUAUUGGGCGCCGGGAGACCCCGCGCCCCCAAUUCAUCGGCUGGACGGUUCGAAUCUCAGCGUUGUGGUCAUUCAAUUCGCUGGCGAGGACGACCGGACGCGCCGUUAAACCUCUCAUCACAGGUUGACCUCGGAUCGGGUAGGGAUACCCGCUGAACUUAA